GUUAGAGGUAGUUAAAGGGGUUCUGGUUCUGCUGUUACCUGGAGAAAUAGCAGAAUGUCAGGAACAGUGUCAGAUGUUGAUGUUUUCCUAUCCUAGUAAAUGAAAUCAGAGCACCUGGGUCAAAACAAGUUGGUGGGAAAGAAAGCUGUGUUUCCACUGAGAGCCCGUUACCCUGCUCAAGGACAGAAGAGAAGGGACAUGUCCACUUGAGACAGUGAGUGUGAAAUUCCCUGAUGUAAGAUUUAUUAACUGGUGGACAUUCUGUCCUGGUUCUGUCCAUGUAUGUGACACAUCAGAGACAUCCAAAAAUUCCCAAGAGAAGAACUCCUUGAGGCCACUGGACAAAAUGAAUGAGUGGAAAUUCUGUUGGUCCUUUUUUAUUGAUGAGAGAAUUUCCUCCACCCUGUGCUACUCCAUGUCAGUUACACUGGGCAGCAAUUGUCACAGUCUUGAGUUUAACAGGAGAUUACCUUUGUAGAACAGGACUGUGUCCAGGCUCUUCCUAUCUCACAGUGACUCCAUCUGCCCUGACCUUCUCCUGGGACUUGGUCCAAGUAGGUCACUGGGGAGAGGAGGCUGGGUUCACUGCACAGGGACAUUAAUGUCAGACUUCCUCUCCCAGCUGGAAAGUGUGAGCUGUGUUGUUUUGGCCAACAAGGCUGAGCUGCUUUUCCAGAGAGUCCAGGUCAUCAAACACACCUCUCCACUCUGUGGGACCUUGGAGUGUGAGCCAAGGAGCAGAUGGGACCCUGCCAUGUUUUCUCUAAGUCUAAGUAAAACUCUGUGGCUGUUCUCCUGUUCUGAGUGAGCAGCUUCCCACUGAACUCGUGCAGGGGCAGGCAUGUUGGCAUGGUGGUGUUUCUGGACUCUCAAGUCUCAGUUCUCCAUCUGCCUCAUCUGAAUGAGCAGAAGUAACUGAGAUGAGAGGAAAUGAGGUGGAGCUCAUUGCAGGAGGGAGAAUGCAGAAGUCUGGAGUUGGACAACUUGCCAGAAGUGGAUAGGGGAGAUUUGCUGAUUUAUAAUAUUCUUUUCCUGAGAAAUUAGGAACUUCCUCAAGCCUUGGACUGAGCGGUGCUCAUUUGCAGUAUGGAGCAUUCCUGAAUGAAGUGUGAAUCUAAUCAUAAGCAUUUAUUUUAAUGUUUUAUUACUGAGAAAAUGGUCUCACCUAAUUACUUCUAUGGGAAAGAAAAAUGAUGAUCACAUUGAUUAAAUGAAAAAUUAAAUUUUAUUUGGUUGUCAAUAAUAUUUCUGAUGUAAUGCUAAAAUUUCACAGUAAGUUAAAUAAUUCACUUUGGAUAUGAAAUAGCUCCAGGUGU
rnacentral:lncRNA from 1 species